rnacentral:rRNA from 1 species
GGAUGGACCCGCGGUGCAUUAGUUAGUUGGUGAGGUAAAGGCUCACCAAGACCGUGAUGCAUAGCCGACCUGAGAGGGUAAUCGGCCACACUGGGACUGAGACACGGCCCAGACUCCUACGGGAGGCAGCAGUAGGGAAUCUUCCACAAUGGACGAAAGUCUGAUGGAGCAACGCCGCGUGAGUGAAGAAGGUUUUCGGAUCGUAAAACUCUGUUGUUGGAGAAGAAUGUAUCUGAUAGUAACUGAUCAGGUAGUGACGGUAUCCAACCAGAAAGCCACGGCUAACUACGUG